rnacentral:rRNA from 1 species
UACGGAGGGUGCGAGCGUUGUCCGGAAUCACUGGGCGUAAAGGGCGCGUAGGUGGCGCGGGCAGUCAACGGUGAAAGUUCGGGGCUCAACCCUGAAUCGGCCGUCGAUACUCCCGGGCUGGAGCACUGUAGAGGCUAAUGGAAUUCCGGGUGUAGCGGUGGAAUGCGUAGAGAUCCGGAAGAACACCGGUGGCGAAGGCGGUUAGCUGGGGCAGUUGCUGACACUGAGGCGCGACAGCGUGGGGAGCAACAGG